UUUUGCAUCGACUUUCUUUGUGUAGAUGCUCUAUUGUUUAGUCCCACAGUCCCCUAUUAAUGGAGACACCUGGGUUGAUUCCAAUCCUCUGCUAAUACGAAUAUGCUGCAGUGAAUAAUUUUGUGCAUAUGCCUUAGAGUAUUUUUGGCUGUGUGUCUACAGGAUGGAUUCCUAGAAGUGAGAGCUCUGUUUCAAAGGGUCAAAUCCUAUGUAAGUUUUCUGGAUGUUGCCUAUUUCCCUCCAUAAGGGGUCAUACCCUUUUACACCUUUCCUAGCAAUAUAGAAUAGAGCCUGUUUCCUCACAGGCUCGUCCACAAAUGAUGCUGACAAACAUGAGUUUUUGCCAAUCUGGUGGCUAAGCAUACUCUUAAUUUGCAUUUCUUUCGCUCUAGCAUCUUUUCCUGUAUUCAAGGGCCAUUUCUUUUCUCCUGGCAACUGCCUGCUGAUGUCCUUCACACAUUUUUCCAUCAGAGUCUUCAUCUUUUUCUUCAUAAAUCUUAGGAGCUCUUUAUGAUGAAUGGCAUUAGCCUUUAUCCUACAAGUCUGCCAAGGUUUGCCAUUGGAAUCUGUUUCUGGUGUUUUUCGCCCACACGGCUUUUGAGACAACACCUAACAUCUUGAAGCAAUUCCAUGGUGACAAGGCCUCCCAAGCCAAGACUGCACACCAGGGUUCUGUGGAAACAUCUGAGAAGUUGCUUCUCAGACUCAGUUAAGCUACUGAAAUUUAUAAUCAGACUCAACUCUAAGCCUCCUGGAUCCCACUUCACAAGUCAAUCUGAUCAGAAGUGUCUUACCACAAAGGGAAGCUGAGGCUUGUCCCUUUGCUUAGAAGCAAUGGAAGUGUCAGGGAACCCUUAGAGAGGGCGGCGGCUUCAGAGACCUUCAGGAGGUGCCCUCAUUCCUGCAGCUGCUCAGCUUAGAUGGGACGUGUGGCUGUGGUUUUCGAGCACUGUCCAUGCCUGAGUCUGGGGGGAGAAUCGUGUCCUUCUGACACAAUGCUCAACUGGAGUGCAUUUUAUUUACGCUAUGAGGGCUCAGAAAAGUGGUUCGUGGGAACAUCACCAUUUUAUAUGUCCAGGCAUCUCAUCAAUUCAGUAUGACACCUUCUCAGUGACUGACUCGCUCAUGGGUCCCAGGACUAGAGAAAGCAGGGACCCAUGACACGGGAUAGAAUACGGUGGUGGUUUUGUUACAGAGAAGAACAAGAUGGUCUAUUCAUGUGACCUGAUGCCCAACGAGGCUGAGAGGAGUAUCGAGUCACUUCACUCUCAGGCAAGAGAAAGAAAAGUGAAGACAACAUUGGAUUGAUGACGUCAUGAUCUUGUCUGUUCCCAAUCCUACUCAUGACCUAACAAUUUAAAAGUAAUAAUGAAAUAAUGAUACCCGAACGCAUGAUUUUACAUCAUGCUCCAGAAUUUACAAAGCACUGUUGCAUUUUAUGCUCAUAAGCACCAUACCAGUGUGUGGUAGAGUGUGCUUGAAAGUCACAGAAAACCCAAGCUACGUGAGGUUAAGUUGCCAGGAUCACACAGCUAAGAAAGGGGGAGCUUCAACUGGAAUCCAAACCAAGGCUGGCUGUGGGCGUGUGCCGUGCCUGCAGUCACACAGGACCCUGUGCCCAGGAGGGCCCGUGCUUGGUUUAAUGCUCUGCCGUUGCAGUCAUGAGAUUCACUUUGACCAUGUUUGUACAGGCAGAACUGUUCAUUUUGCACAGAGCUCCUCAAAUUGUGUAGCCAGCCCUGCCCAGACUACAUGUGAUUUUUCUCCUAAGAAUUAAAGUAGCAAAUCUAAACUUUUUGAAAUACAAUUUAUUGAAUAGUCUUUGUUUCAAGUGGAAUUGAUACUUAGGUUUUGUGUAAAGACAGGGGCCAUGUUAUUGAAGACCUCACCACCCACCAGAUGAAGCUCUGGGGGCUUCAUGUGUUAGCCCCUAGCCUAGGGCCAUAAGACCACUUCAGAUAACACUUUUUGGUGCCUAAGACAUAUAGGAAAUAGCUGCUUUAUUAUUCAAAUCAGGCCAAAUUCCCCUGCAAAACAAAUAAAUGGAGUAGAAGGAUUUGUUUUAAAAAAGACAGAGAGAAGAGAAAUGUUUAUUUUACUGGAAUUUUAUUAUACCAAAUAUUGUUCCAAUAUGUAGGCCAUGAUGUGGAGCUCUAAAACCUAUUUCUUGUAAAGAAACAUAUAAGAAAGUCAUGUUUGUGUUAGUAAGAUUUAAUCAUCAAUCCCCUAGUGAGCUGGGAGAAUUCUUGCCACUUUGAAAGACACCUGCCUUAACCAUAAGACCUAUGGAAAUCUCAUUUGUAGUGUCAUUCUGGGAUCACAAAAGGCUUCCAUUUAAAAUGUGUCUUUAAUUUUUCUACAGAAAUGUAUACCGAUUGCUAUCUAACAUUUGGAAAUUCAUAGAUUAAUUAAUUUAAAAGAUGUUCAAUGGAAGGAAAGAAGAGAAAAUGAGCAGUGAUAGCUAAAGAUAAAGAAAGCCUGAUCAAUGUAUAUUUGCUUUUUCAAAAAGCAUUUAAUAGGAAACCUCUUACACUCUGGGCCCCUUACUGACCACUGCAGUUCCGGGAGAAAUGAUGGAAACACAAAACAUUUUAGUAAAUAUAAUUAUAAUGAGUUCCAAUUACUUACAGAAUAUAUAUUUUUCUUUGCAUCAUGGGUCUUAUGUGAAACUGUUGUAUUAAUUUUAAAAGAGAGAGAAAUGCUUCCUAACACACAUUAGUUGGAAGAGCAUAAUGACCAGUAUAACCAGUUUCUUAAACAAGUCAAUUAGAGGAGACGAUCUUUCAGGUAUCCGAUCUGAUUUAUUAUUCACUUGGGAAUUAACAGAGAAUGGCUCUUGAUAUAAAUUCCUCUGUAGGUUUUAUUAUAUUGGCAUUUUGGUGGAUAGAUAAUAUAUAGAACCCCUGGGCCUAUCACUAUCAAAGAUGCUAUUGAUUGUAUCAGCAGCAUUAUCCUGCGAUUUUCCCUCAUAACUAUUUAUGCAACUCUCUGUGAUUUGUAAUUCAGCAGUAAUCAUUUUCUGUGGCUGGUGCAAUUUUCUUUCCAUGGGGUACUUAGGCUAUGUACUGAAACAAGGCUUGAUUUUAAGCCCAAAGAUUUGGGGUUUCGUUUUAGAAUAAUGGAGAGGAGAUCAAAGAAGUUUUAGAAUUAGAAUUAAUUGUUAAGGAUGAGAAGCAAACAUUAGUCCUUUAUUUUAUUAGUUCCAUGGGUAGAUCAGAGAUAAGCAGUGGCAAAGUGGGAGAACACAGAUAAAAUCAGAGGUGAUUUCAUCAGGGUUGCAGGAGAGGAAAUUAGCAGGAACCUGAUGCUUGGACGAGGUUGAGUCUACUUUACCCUGCUGGCUCCUUUGGGGGCUGCUUCUGAGCACUUUGUGGGCUUGGAAAGGGAGUAGAAUCUUUUUAAAGCCCUGUUUAUCCCCUCAGGGAGAAAAAAAAAAUCUCUGAGGGCCCUGGACUUGGGCUGAAACAGAGUUUCAAGAAGGUUUGAACCUUGCUCUGGGAACAGAGGCGCAAAGCAAGGUUGGGGAGGAAGGGCUAGCUUUUACUUGCUUAACUGAAGAGUGGCAACAUGAAGGUGAUGCACAAAACACACUUGUUUACUUUUCUCCAUCCAUAGUGGGGAAGAAACACACAGAAAAGAACGGUUGCAGCGCCCAGGUUGCAGGUGCAUCAGAAAUAGAGAAAUGUAUUCACACUCUGAAGCUGAUGCCAAGGCCUUCUUAAGGAAACUCUAGGGGCUCAGAAAGGAGUACUUCGAUUAGGUCUCCCUGACUCAGGAUAACUAACAUCAGAACGUUCACUCGUAAUUUUGCUCAAACUUUGUCUCCAAGAUCACACGUUCUCAGUCGCAGAACCAUGAGUCAUUAUACUUCAUCCAAAGAUGACCUGCAAUCCUGCCAUGUUUUGCAGCUGCCACACCCACAGCAGUGCACCUGAUUUUCUGUCGAUUAAAAUGGUCCAACAGUGGGCUCCCCUCCCCACUACCUCGGAAGAGCACCUAUUUGUCCUUUGGAAUCUACCUUGUCCAGCGCUUUUAUAUGCCUGGCCUUUGAAUCGAUCAUCAACUCACUGUAUCAUGACUAAGGGAGAGGCUUUCUGGCAAAAUCUUGUCAGCGAUGUUGAUUUCUCCUCCACGUUGCUGCUGAAACUGGGAUGCAGUCUUCACAUUGGCUUUCUUCUUCGGGAAAUGCACAGGAGCCUCUUGCCUUGUAAUACACAGUCUGUCUCAUUCAUAAAGUCUUGUCCUGGAAAAUGCCUCAUUCAUCCCUGCGGAAGACCCGCCGUUGGGAGGGCAGGGGCGUUUGAAACCUUGGGAGACAGAAGACAAUAGUGGAGUGCUUGGCAGCAGUGCCUGGGCUGCUUUAGCAACACGCACCCACGCCAGGGAGAGGAUAAAACGCUGCAGUUGUUUACUUGCCUCUCUGGAGCAAAAGAGUCUCUUCGCCUACAAUAUAGAUGCCAAAUCCUCAGGUCCUGAGUGAGGAAAUGAUGAGCUUCGCCGGGGAUUGGCAUGAAGUCCUGUGCUCCAAGAUAGCACGGCGUUUUGCUUGAAAGCAUUCGUUGUUUAAAGAGAAAAAUGAGAAUUGUGGGAUUUUUUUGUCAAUCAAGAGUCAGCCAACUUCCUCUCCCACUGGCCGCUCACGCCGAAUGCCCACCGUGCCCUGCGGUGCCCUGCCACGGAGACGGGCUGGUCUGCUCUCUGGCCACUAAAGGCAUUUGCUUCGCUUUCAGAAUCUGAUCACAGGCAACUUAAAUGUGCCAACGUUACCCAUAUUAGUAAUUGCAAAAUAAUAAACAUGGCAAAUUUCAUGUUAAUAAGGCAUCCAGUGUAACUCCUUUUACAGAAGGAGCUCUCUGGAAUCCUAAGCCUAAUAGAUCUGUGUUUAUUGCUCCACCAGCAGCAUAAUGUGACUGAUUUACAAGAGUUUAACUCAAGUGUUAGUCUGACAGUGACGAAGAGCUCCUCACUGGUGCAGUCACUUACACGAUCAUAUUAGUUGCCUCCUCUAUUAAAGCAGUGUGGUCGAUAAUUGGAAUGCUUUUAUGUCUAGUGGUUCUGACAAGCCUCUUCUUCAGGUCACAUAUGGGCGGUCUAGCUCUCCGCUCAGCCCAACAGUGGCAAAUAAUUUAAACUGAGAAAGUAUUGUUCUCCUCGUAUUGUGGAGCAAGGGCAGUUCAAGGGAAGUGAGACUGCACUGGCUACCUGCUGGUGUGCAGUAAAAUAAGGUGGACAUGAUACAAGGCUGGGAGUACAAUUAAAUCUAUUUUGCACCAAUGUGUUGCUGGACAGAUGAGUUUCCACAUGGCAGAGCUUUAUGAUCUUUAAGGUAGACUGAACUAAUAGAUUGGUGUGGAGCGCACUGAAGUUACCAAGGAUGAGAAAGCAGGCAGUAGUACAUUUGAACUACAGGUUUCUCAUAUGCUCCACGUCAUGCUGAGUUUUUAUAGCUCCUGGCUUUCAAAAAGCCUGUUUCAAAGAGGUUUGCGCUAGACUGGGCAUGCAGUUUUGCUCUGCAGAUAUUGUCGCUACCGAUUUAGUGGAAUGCAAUUAGGAAGCCUAAAUUAAGUGGUAAUGGAGAACCAGCUCUUGAAACUGGGGUUUCCACGGCAACCACUGCUUACAAUACAGCCUUCAGUUAGUUUUCCCACUUUAUCUGCAAAAUGCACAAUUGAGCUUUAAAACAGCUCGGCGCUGAAAAACGCACUGUAAACAACUGUUUGCAAUGAGAGUUUUACACUGUCUUUAAAUACAACAAACUAUCACAUAAAAUUUACUUGCCCUCCCUAAUAAAGCAAAAUCUGGGUUGCCAAUCGGUUAGCGAUUUUAAAAUUUAUUAUUCCUUUCCCCUGUUUGGAUUUAUUUUUAAGGGAAGGUGUCAUGAGUCAUUAGAUCUCUUAACUUUGGUCAUUCUUGCUGCAUUUUCAGCUCCCCUGACAAUCUGCCUAUCCCACAGUCCCUUGCUAAAGUGUGUUUCAUCUCAGCAAAGAAUUGUUUCAAAUAAACAUACAAUGUGCUCCUUUUCUAGGUUCUUUUCGUAUUUUGGUAACAUUUUACAGAUUCUGCUUGUAUUUUCCCUUUGUAACAUGUCAUAGAUUUGCAAGACUUUCCUAUUCUCUAAUUUGUUAUUUAUCUUCUUUCCACCUUACUACUCUUUUAAAAGUCCAUGUCUCAUUUCUCUAUACAUUUGGCGAUUAACCAUCGAGGCUGUCUUUUGCCAGCCUAAGUAGCAAGAGGAGACAGUUAAAAGACAAUAUGAAAGCAGGUGUAUUGCUAAACACACAGUUGUUUAAAACAGCUAUGAAGAACUUGUACUUUUGUAAAACUCAUUUUCUUUCGUGGUAGGAAUUCAUAUUGUUUUAUUGUAGAGUUGUCAUUUUUGCUUAGGUGCAUCAGAAAUGCAUACACUCAGGCACACGUAUACAGCUACACUUACACAUGCAUUUUCUUAGUGGGGAAAAAAUCAAAUUGGGUUCUGUAAAGAGGAGAAGAGGAUGGAAUCAAAUUUGGGGUCUCCUAGCUGUAAUACUCUGCUUAAUUGCCAGUCUUAACAGGAUGAGCACUGGAACAUGUCCGGACAGAUCCAGGCAGCUGGUGAAAACUCAUGAAUUCUCCACAGCACAGAAGGGAGCAGGUUUGCAUUCAGGCCACUGAAAGGAUGGAGGCUGCAUCACAGAGGAGGCCGUGGGAGGUCACAGGUACGGCCUCUCCUUCUGACUGUACAAAGAACUCCGCAAGCUGUGUGGUCAGAAUGCCAGGGACAGCCAGGAGCUGCUGUCAUUCGUUCCAGGUGGAGCUGACAGACUGUCUCUGAAGCGCCCACCUGCGCGUGCGCCCCCCUCUUCCCGGCACAGGCUAGAGAUGCGCAGAAUCCUAACCACGGCCACUGUUUCCUGCCUCAACGAGCCAUGCCCUAAAAGAAACAAAUGCAUCGCCCCAGAAUUCUUAUAAAGUUACAAUCAUCUACUUAAUUCUUUUAAUUGCCUUUUCCUUCAACUUAAACUUUAAUUUCAGGUAUCUUCUGUACAACACAGAAGUCACGCACGUUCUGGAUAGAAUUAAAAGGAAAUUAACUUGGGGUUUAGGGUGGACGUUUUUUGCCUUAUUUUGCUUCUUAGUAACUGAAAGUGAAGUCUUAAUAAUCAGAAUAUUAUUAAUCCAUCUCCAUUUUUCUAUUUUAAAGGCACAACAUAGAUUUUGGUUCCAGUUGGUAUUACUUUAAUGAGAGUAAUGAAUAUUCCAUGUGAAGGCAGCGUGUAUGAAAGUGUGCUGGGAAAGUUCUAGGGGUCUUUUGUGUUUUGUUUCAGUUUUGAAGAUUAAAUGCAAGUUUAAUUCUUUAAUGAAUAUAUAAGUUUGUCGAUGCCCUUUCUUGAGGAAGCUAUGGUUAAAUUAUUGUGUCAAAUCAUUGUAUUUCAUUCUGUCUCCAGUGUGGGGGUAGCACAGAGGGGUGGCAGGUAGGGCUGGGGGUGAAUAUGUGUGCUUUUCUUAAGCGACACUAGUUUUGGAACAUGUAAGGAUUCCAAAGGUUAAUGUGGAUUAAAAUGCUAUCUGCCAUGAACUUUAGAAAUUCAAAUAAAUGUGGUUGGUAAAAGAAGAUCUGUGUUUUGAUUACACGGAAAUGCUUUUGUAGGCCUUUUCUUUCAGGUGAAGUAAACAUCUUAAAAAUAAGCACAAUAAAUAUGUUUCUAAGCACGGUG